UGGGUGUGCCACAAUUGAUUUUCUGAACGGGAAAAUUCUGAAUUCUUUUUAAGUCACUUUAUGUAAAGACAAAAGGAGACCAACAUCCCGUGUAAAGAUGAUUUUAAUUAGACGUGUUUAGAAGGAAAAAAUAAGUCUAGCCCAAGCCUUUGCAGGAGGAGCCUACCAGACUUCAAGACAUCUUCCUAAGAUAUCUCCUUGACCUGGACCACCAUUUAGUUACGUACUUGCUUCAUUUUAUCCUGCUAAUCAGAUGAUAAACUGCAGAAGGUUGCUUGUCUUGUAUCCUCACGUGGCAGAGAACAGAAAGAGGAAGCUCAUCUCUUCUUAAAAGGACAUUAAUCCCAUUCAUGAGGUCUCCACCCUAAUGACAGAAUUAUAGCCCAAAGACUCCACCUUCAAACACCAACACUUAGGCUUCAACAUGAAUUUUUUUUGUGAUGGUUGGUGGCAGGCAAAAACAUUCAGCCAUGGAUCUUUGCCUGGUUUGGGAUAGUCUUUCUUUUCUUUGCUUAUAUAAACUUUGUCCAACUUUCAAGGUUCUUCAAAAACCACACUGCCUCCAGAAAGCCUUCUACAAGGACUCUUGUUCAUUAAUCAGUUUUGAAUACUUGGGAUUAAUACCCUUUGCUACACAGUUUAGAGGUUAAUGGUGUUCCUGUCUCUGUUGCUGUUUUGGGUAAUUUUCCAACUAAAUUCCCACAUUCCCAGCUAAUAUUUAUUAAGAAUUUAUUAGGCUAGGUGCAGUGGCAUGCCCCUGUAGUCUUUCAACUACUCUGAAAGCUGAGGCAGGAGAAUUGCUUGAAUUCACAAGUUUGAGACCAACCUGGGUAAUAUAGUAAGACUCCAUCUCAAAACAAAACAAAAAUCACUAUUAUGAAGAGAUCCAAGAUGGUGGACUAGAGGGAGACUGCAUUCCUUGUCACUUUGUAACUCAGGAUUCAAACAGGAAAUACUGUUUCUCUGCCAGUCAGUCUUGGAUGCUUACCCAUCCCCCUGCUGUUUACCCUAUUCAUCCACCGCAAUCACCGGCCAUCUGCUAGCAUAUCACCUGCUUUUUGAGUUCGGAUCCCUCACUGACUACCACCUAUCAUCUGCCAUUUACCAGUUUGCCUGCCUCUUGCCUGCCCAUCACCCACCACCCGACGUCUACCCUUUGAUUGCAUUAGCCUGCAGACUGCCUGCAGACCGCCAGUGGAUCGCCUGCUGCCCUGCUGUUUCCUGGAAGUCCACUGUCACAGUACCUGCAGGUUUGUUACAUGUGACUGCUGCCACUUUGGGACAACAGCCAGGGCCUGCAGGUUUGCUGCCAUGGCUGCUGCCAUCUCAGGGAUCCAGGCCAGGGCCUGGAGAUAUACUGGGGUACCUGCAGGUCUGGUUGCACCUGAGGUCUUUCUGUUCAGUGUGGUAGUGGCUGCCAUCUGGCUGCCUCUUUGCAGGGUUGCUCCUUUCUGUGAGUGCAUCCCUGUUGGUCUCUCUGCUAGUAGAAAGGGCAUUGGGAUCUUUGGACAGCAGCAAGACAAGGCCUGGGGAAGCUGAAGCCCAGGUCCAUCAGAUUGCAGCUGAGUUUAUGUGGGCCAAUCUGGGUCUGGCAAGCCUAUGGAAAGCCGGAGACUAGGAACAGUUUCCUGGGAAGAGCACAGGUUGAAGAAACUGGGGAGAACUGGGCUCUCUCCAGGUCAGUGAGUCCUGAAGUGUGCAGGAAUGGAAGGGGCCAACUAUAAUGGGUGGGAAGACUGUAAGAGGGUGUGAGGGCAUCUUGCUGUCAGCUCACCCACCCAACAGGUCUGGUACCAACUGGACUGGAGCUAACAUCAAACUUCAGACAACCUCACCUAUUGUGGAAAAGGGAAGCUGAGAAAAUUUUUGAAAGCCAACAGAAGCAAUCAUUCAAUUUUCCAUUGA